GACGAACGCUGGCGGCGUGCUUAACACAUGCAAGUCGAACGGAAAGGCCCGGCUUUUGUGGGGUGCUCGAGUGGCGAACGGGUGAGUAACACGUGAGUAACCUGCCCUUGACUUUGGGAUAACUUCAGGAAACUGGGGCUAAUACCGGAUAGGAGCUCCUGCUGCAUGGUGGGGGUUGGAAAGUUUCGGCGGUUGGGGAUGGACUCGCGGCUUAUCAGCUUGUUGGUGGGGUAGUGGCUUACCAAGGCUUUGACGGGUAGCCGGCCUGAGGGGGUGACCGGCCACAUUGGGACUGAGAUACGGCCCAGACUCCUACGGGAGGCAGCAGUGGGGAAUAUUGCACAAUGGGCGGAAGCCUGAUGCAGCAACGCCGCGUGCGGGAUGACGGCCUUCGGGUUGUAAACCGCUUUCGCCUGUGACGAAGCGUGAGUGACGGUAAUGGGUAAAGAAGCACCGGCUAACUACGUG
rnacentral:rRNA from 1 species